CAGUCGCCACGGUAAUACGAAGGGGGCUAGCGUUGCUCGGAAUCACUGGGCGUAAAGGGUGCGUAGGCGGGUCUUUAAGUCAGGGGUGAAAUCCUGGAGCUCAACUCCAGAACUGCCCUUGAUACUGAAGAUCUUGAGUUCGGGAGAGGUGAGUGGAACUGCGAGCGUAGAGGUGAAAUUCGUAGAUAUUCGCAAGAACACCAGUGGCGAAGGCGGCCCACUGGCCCGAUACUGACGCUGAGGCACGAAAGCGUGGGGAGCAAACAGGAUUAGAGACCCCAGUAGUCCCUGUCUCUUAUAC
rnacentral:rRNA from 1 species